rnacentral:rRNA from 1 species
GUUAGGAAUUUUGCGCAAUGGGGGAAACCCUGACGCAGCAACGCCGCGUGAAGGAUGAAGGCCUUCGGGUUGUAAACUUCUUUUAGCAGGAAAGAACAAAAUGACGGUACCUGCAGAAAAAGCACCGGCUAACUCUGUGCCAGCAGCCGCGGUAAUACAGAGGGUGCAAGCGUUAUUCGGAAUUACUGGGCAUAAAGAGCGCGUAGGCGGUUUGAUAAGUCUGAUGUGAAAGCCCUGGACUCAAUCCAGGAAGUGCAUCGGAUACUGCCAAACUAGAGUGAAGGAGAGGAGAGCGGAAUUCCUGGUGUAGAGGUGAAAUUCGUAGAUAUCAGGAGGAACAACAGUGGCGAAGGCGGCUCUCUGGACUUUAACUGACGCUGAGGCGCGAAAGCGUGGGGAGCAAACAGGAUUAGAAACCCUGGUAGUCC